rnacentral:rRNA from 1 species
UCGGGAAUAUUGCGCAAUGGAGGAAACUCUGACGCAGUGACGCCGCGUAUAGGAAGAAGGUUUUCGGAUUGUAAACUAUUGUCGUUAGGGAAGAAAAAUGACAGUACCUAAGGAGGAAGCUCCGGCUAACUACGUGCCAGCAGCCGCGGUAAUACGUAGGGAGCAAGCGUUAUCCGGAUUUAUUGGGUGUAAAGGGUGCGUAGACGGGCGAUCAAGUUAGUUGUGAAAUCCCUCGGCUCAACUGAGGAACUGCAACUAAAACUGGUUGUCUUGAGUGCAGGAGAGGUAAGUGGAAUUCCUAGUGUAGCGGUGAAAUGCGUAGAUAUUAGGAGGAACACCAGUGGCGAAGGCGACUUACUGGACUGUAACUGACGUUGAGGCACGAAAGUGUGGGGAGCAACAGGAUUAGAUACCC